rnacentral:rRNA from 1 species
AGCAGCCGCGGUAAUUCCAGCUCCAAUAGCGUAUGUUAAAGUUGCUGCCGUUAAAAAGCUCGUAGUCGAACUUCGGCUUCUGUCUGCCGGUCCGCCUUUUUGGUGUGUACUGGUCUUGAUGGAAGCUUACCUCUUGGUGGGUCGGCAUGCCCUUCGUUGGGUGUGUCGAUUAACCAGGACUUUUACUUUGAGAAAAUUAGAGUGUUCAAAGCAGGCUUUCGCCCGAAUACAUUAGCAUGGAAUAAUAGAAUAGGACGCGCGUCUUUAUUUUGUUGGUUUCUGAAUCACCGUAAUGAUUAAUAGGGAUAGUUGGGGGCAUUAGUAUUCAAUUGUCAGAGGUGAAAUUCUUGGAUUUAUUGAAGACUAACUACUGCGAAAGCAUUUGCCAAGGAUGUUUUCAUUAAUCAAGAACGAAAGUUAGGGGAUCGAAGACGAUCAGAUACCGUCGUAGUCUUAACCAUAAACUAUGCCGACUAGGGAUCGGAUGAUGUUAAUUUUUUAAUGACUCA